GAUCUGCCGAGGAAAGAGAGGGGAAACCGGGAAAAAAAAAAGAGCGGCGUCACGCGGCGCCGGCUCAGCAUUUCUUCUGCGGUAUCGCAGAAGCCGAGUGAUUUCGUUCUGCCCCCGUUCACCCCAAACCGGACGGACCCGGCGCAAAACACUCGGAUUUGGGGCUUUCCCAAAUCGCCAAGGAGGUGCCGGCGCUGCGGAUCUGCCAGGUGCCCCGGAGCGAAUCGCAGAGGGCAGGUUGCCAGGGCGACUCUUCCCAGCGGUAAUUUUGGAGCCGGGCUCACCUGCAUGAUGAUGAAGUACCAGAGCGCGUGGAUGUCCCAGAAGUAGCCGAGGCCGAAGAGCGCCGAGAAGAGCCCGCUCAGCAGCAUCCCCACGGACAGGUCGUGUAGCACAGGAAGGUGAGCAGCAGCAUCAGGCCCCGGUAGCUGCGGACGAGAGGCGUCGGGAGAACCGGGAACGGAGCCAACCGGAGCGCUCGCGGACCCCGCCGGGGCCGAACCUCGACGCCGAGCUCCAAACACGCCCGAAAAACCUCCCUGCGACCGGCAUCGCGGAGCGAUUCAGAAAAGCGCCCGCAAAAAUCGGAGAGGCUCGGCGAAAAGAGCGGAGCCGGGAUUGACCCGGCGCCGAGAAAUCACGCUUUCCCAUCGCCCUAAAAAUUAAAGAAAAAAGGAGAAAUCACGGCCGGUCGCCGCCGCGGAGGAUGGGAGUGAGUAAGGGGCGCGGGAAACGGGGCCGGCCGAAAAAAAAGGGGAUUGGGGAAGGUUGAGUCAAGGAGCGGACGGAAAGAUUGACGGCGGGACGGAAAGAGGAAGCCGGCGGCUGCCUCAGCGCCGAGUCGUUUGGCAACGGUGUCGCGUGAGGACGAGCUCUGAAAACCGGCGGCUUAAAAAAGAUAUAUAUAUGCACUUAAAAGAAAAAAAUUGAGGCGGGUUUGUCACCUCGCAGAACGGGAUGCCCCGAGCUGCGGGAGCGGG